UCGGGAAUUUUGGGCAAUGGGCGAAAGCCUGACCCAGCAACGCCGCGUGAAGGAUGAAGUAUUUCGGUAUGUAAACUUCGUAAGAAUAGGAAGAAUAAAUGACGGUACUAUUUGUAAGGUCCGGCUAACUACGUGCCAGCAGCCGCGGUAAUACGUAGGGACCAAGCGUUGUUCGGAUUUACUGGGCGUAAAGGGCGCGUAGGCGGCAUGACAAGUCACUUGUGAAAUCUCUGGGCUUAACCCAGAACGGCCAAGUGAUACUGUCGCGCUAGAGUGCAGAAGGGGCAAUCGGAAUUCUUGGUGUAGCGGUGAAAUGUGUAGAUAUCAAGAGGAACACCUGAGGUGAAGACGGGUUGCUGGGCUGACACUGACGCUGAGGCGCGAAAGCCAGGGGAGCAAACGGGGAUUAGAUACCCUAGUAGUCCCUGAGCGGGCUGGCAAGGCGCAU
rnacentral:rRNA from 1 species